rnacentral:rRNA from 1 species
UACGUAGGGGGCAAGCGUUGUCCGGAAUCAUUGGGCGUAAAGCGCGUGUAGGCGGCCAGGUAAGUCCGUUCUGAAAGCCCGGGGCUCAACCCCGGGAGGCGGAUGGAUACUGCUUGGCUCGAGUCCGGAAGAGGCGAGUGGAAUUCCCGGUGUAGCGGUGAAAUGCGCAGAUAUCGGGAGGAACACCAAUGGCGAAGGCAAUCCCCUGGGCCUGCACUGACGCUCAUGCACGAAAGCGUGGGGAGCAAACAGG